AUCGGUAAAACACAAAAAAAUGAUUAGUUAAAUAUUUUAUAAUAAUAUUAACGUUCGAGCAAAAUGUCGUUGCGAGUUAAACUGUCUCUCGUUGUACAGUAGUUUUAGGGCACCUACGAACUGUGUGCCGUCGGGAUAAAGAUGGUGUACGUACCAAAUAACACUGCAAAGCCUGUACCUUCCUUGUAGGGUUCGGUUGGUGCACCGUUCGCGAAAAAAUUAGCAUAUCGAGCACCAUGCAACAAGUCGAGCGGUCGAAAAUUAUCGCCUAUCAUCGCGGACGUUUCACACACGGGGUCUCGCCGACGUGCACUACCACCACCAUCACCACAGAUACCACUCGUAACCCGCAACGGACGACCACGUCCAGCAGCAGCGGGACCGCAACGGCGGCGGUGGCGACGGCGCACGGCGCUCUGAGCGGGUCCUCCUUUGGCGACGGCAAUGACGAUUCGACGCGAUGACGACUACAGGCUGACGACAAAGAAACACGCGCGGCCAUGACUUUCGACGACUCGGCGUGACGGUGGCGAGCAGGUGGCCCCCUCGCGGAAUUUAUAAUCGGGCUCCGAAUUCGAUGUUGAACGUUUCCCGGAGCAGAGCUCACAGGCCCUGCGUUUCGGGACGAUAGAAAAAAUACCGAAAUCGGCACACAGACACCGCGUGCCGACAAUCACAAUUUUAAAUAAUAUAAUUAUUGUUCGCAGCAAUGCCCACUUGUUGGGCUCGGAGUCUCGAAUCGAUGAAAACCGUACGCGUCGACGACCACUGUAGUACUGUAUUAUUGUGUAUUAGUGUUACUCGAUUACUGUAUCAAUGAUAAACGGUGGAGAACAAAACAAAAAUAUUACGCGAUCGUCAACAAUGU